rnacentral:rRNA from 1 species
AUUGCCCGCUUUCUUCAUGCCUUACACAUGCAAGUCGAACGGUAACAGGUUAAGCUGACGAGUGGCGAACGGGUGAGUAAUGUAUCGGAACGUGCCCAGUCGUGGGGGAUAACUGCUCGAAAGAGCAGCUAAUACCGCAUACGACCUGAGGGUGAAAGCGGGGGAUCGCAAGACCUCGCGCGAUUGGAGCGGCCGAUAUCAGAUUAGGUAGUUGGUGAGGUAAAGGCUCACCAAGCCGACGAUCUGUAGCUGGUCUGAGAGGACGACCAGCCACACUGGGACUGAGACACGGCCCAGACUCCUACGGGAGGCAGCAGUGGGGAAUUUUGGACAAUGGGCGCAAGCCUGAUCCAGCCAUGCCGCGUGCGGGAAGAAGGCCUUCGGGUUGUAAACCGCUUUUGUCAGGGAAGAAAAGGUUCUGGCUAAUACCUGGGACUCAUGACGGUACCUGAAGAAUAAGCACCGGCUAACUACGUG